rnacentral:lncRNA from 1 species
UUAAUUGGACGGUGGGACGUACAAAUACAAAUAGCGGCAUGUUUGGUAAAGGUGAAAGUGGAGCGGUGAAUUGAGUCUGCUAUGCUUUCUAUCCAUACAGUGCUUGAUGUCCAUGACAAGUGGCACCACGCCUUCCCAUCCUAACAAAGAGUGGGUCUUUCUUUAUGGUGGGCCACCCCGACAAAAUUUUGGACCCACUUUGCCCCUUAGCCCAUUUGUCUACUAGUUAAAAUAUUCCAUUUUUUUCAUAUUCAUUUUCUCAUCCUUCCCUUUUGUUUUGUAUCCCCCCAUCGAAAUUCCAUUUUUUAUAAAGUUAAUUACAUAAACAAUAGCAUGUGAUUGGAGACACGUUAUGCGUUAUUAGCAGAGGUGGGAAAGUUGAAUGUAAUAAUGUUAAGUGAAGGAGAGAGAGAGUUCCUCACCUCAACCACGGCAACUUUGUCUACUACAAUUUUCUGACACUUUGCACGGUGGCCUUGACGUUAGUACAUUCUAGAUGCUCCACCUCAUGCAUUAGACAAAGUAUAGG